CGAACCGCACGGCGGCGUCCUGGGGGGUCCACUGUGAGGACGGGGGGUCCACCGUGAGGACGGAGCUCCCUCUCCUCAGCACCCACCCCGGAGGGGCCGGGGCUUGGGACACCUGGGGACACCUGGGGCCGCGUCCGGUGUGAAGACAGGGAGACGCUGCUGCAGCUCCGGGACACCUGGGGCCGCCGAGGCAAAGGGGUAAAUCUUUUCAAGACACUAAAACAGGUGACUCAGCCCUGUGAGCUCUGUGCCUGACAUGACCCAAACGGCCAGCAAUUUUCUCCUUCUCCAGUUAAACCUGUCCAACAUUGAGGAACCAAUCUACAUGAGAACUGGCAACUCUAAUUUACCCCGAAGCCUUUCUGCAGGAGAUUCAAAUAUUUGCUAAUGCUUACUGAUACCUUCACUGGUUAGAUUGAGGCAUUCCCCACCCCAUCUGAAAAAUGUUUACCAGAAGAAAUAACUCCUCAGUUUGGGUAAUCUAAAAGCCUGCAAAGUGACAAUGGCCCAUCUUUCACAGCAGGCGUAACCCAACACCUAUCUCAGCUUUAAGAAUCCAAUAUUACCUUCACUCUGUGUGGAGACUGCAGUCCUCUGGAAAGGUGAAAGGGCUAAUCCUACUCUACAGAAGACUCCAGCUAAAUCAGACGCCUGACUAUCUCCAACACCCAUAGCUUACUGCGGGUUUGAACUGCUCCAAAGUAAAACGUAUAAUUAAGUCCUGUUGAGUUAACAUGUGGAAGGCCUUUCCUAACGACAGAUCUCCUAAUAGAUGAAAAGACUCAUCAAUUACAAAAAUAUGUCAUCAAUCUGGGACAGGUGCAAAGGCACUCCGUGCAUAUGGAAACAAGAGUCUUCCCCUCCCACAUGGGAGGAAAAUUCAGUUUCAGCUCAGCUAGGGAUUUAGUCUUACUAAAGACGUGGGAGGAAGUUCUCCAGCUGAGCAGCUUUCCCCAACGUGGAAGGGACCACGCAAGGACACCUGAGUUCUCCAACAGACGUUCAACGCCAAGGGAUUCACAGUUCUGGGAGGUGAUCUCUGAUGAACAUGCUAUCGACUCCGCUGGCACCUACCACGGGGACAGCCACCUGCAGCUGGAGCGCAUCAACGUGCACCACCACGAGGCCAGCGGUGGCAGGUACGUGCCCCGCGCUGUGCUCGUGGAUCUGGAGCCGGGCACCAUGGACUCUGUGCGCUCGGGGCCCUUCGGGCAGGUCCUCAGGCCAGACAACUUCAUCUUCGGUGAGCUGCGGGCGAGGACUGGGGUGCGGCUCCUUAGCCAGGGCAGCUCAAAAUCCAGGAACGCUCCAAGGUCAUCCUGUGGGAACUGUGGCGCCAGGGCCCCUGAACACCCUCCUAUCUGCCGAGUCGAGUCGCUCAAUCUGCCUCUCUUAAACGGGCUUCGGGAGGAAGUCCCGGGUGUCUCCUCAAGGUCAGUGUGGGGCCGGAAACAACUGGGCCAAGGGACGCUACACCGAAGGCGCGGAGCUGACGGAGUCAGUGAUGGACGUUGUCAGAAAGGAGGCUGAGAGCUGUGACUGCCUGCAGGGUUUCCAGCUGACCCACUCCCUGGGUGGGGGGACUGGGUCUGGGAUGGUUACCCUCCUCAUCAGCAAGAUCCGGGAGGAGUACCCAGACAGGAUCAUAAACACAUUCAGCAUCCUGCCCUCGCCCAAGGUGUCAGACACCGUGGUGGAGCCCUACAACGCCACCCUCUCAGUCCACCAGCUCAUAGAAAACGCAGAUGAGACCUUCUGCAUAGAUAACGAAGCGCUAUAUGACAUAUGUUCCAAGACCCUAAAACUGCCCACACCCACCUAUGGUGACCUGAACCACCUGGUGUCUGCUACCAUGAGUGGGGUCACCACGUGCCUGCGCUUCCCAGGCCAGCUGAAUGCUGACCUGCGGAAGCUGGCCGUGAACAUGGUCCCGUUUCCCCGGCUGCAUUUCUUCAUGCCUGGCUUUGCCCCACUGACCAGCCGGGGCAGCCAGCAGUACCGGGCCUUGACUGUGGCUGAGCUCACCCAGCAGAUGUUUGAUGCUAAGAACAUGAGGGCUGCCCGUGACCCCCGUCACGGCCGCUACCUAACGGCGGCUGCCAUUUUCCAGGGUCGCAUGCCCAUGAGGGAGGUGGAUGAACAGAUGUUCAACAUUCAAGAUAAGAACAGCAGCUACUUUGCUGACUGGUUCCCCGACAACGUAAAAACAGCCAUCUGUGACAUCCCACCCCGGGGGCUAAAAAUGUCAGCCAGCUUCAUUGGGAAUAAUGCGGCCAUCCAGGAACUCUUCACGUGUGUCUCAGAGCAGUUUACAGCAAUGUUCAGGCGCAAGGCCUUCCUCCACUGGUACACGGGCGAGGGCAUGGAUGAGAUGGAAUUCACCGAGGCCGAGAGCAACAUGAAUGACCUGGUGUCUGAAUAUCAGCAAUAUCAGGAUGCCACGGCCAAGGAGGAGGAGGAUGAGGAGUAUGCUGAGGAGGAGGUGGCCUAGAACUCUCCUUUUCUAGGUAAAGCGGGGGAGGCAGUGUGUAUUCUUCACUGUGUUGUGACAGCUAUGUGUCACUACGCACUUGUUCAUUUGUGUCUUCACAUCUCCUGCUGCUGCAUUUUAAAGCACUUUUAUAGUGUGCAGUUUUGACUAAUAAAGUAUUCUCACAGCA